rnacentral:lncRNA from 1 species
AUUGGGAGAUAUUCUCCCAAGUAGAUUUUUAAAAAAAGAAUUGGGUCAUGGGGCUAGCUGACUACCAUGCUCUUUUCUCCUAUAUGUAAUUCUUACAAACUAUUCCCUAAUUUUCAUUUGAUGCUUUCACUGAAAUAAUAUUUUGGAUUGUUUGUUUUGUGAUCAGUGUGCAUCUUGUUUGUCCUCUCCACCAAGCAGCAUCGACUACUCCAUACAAGCACAUAAGCUUAUGCCCUUAUGAAGUUAUGAUUAUAUAUUUACCAAUGACUAUUAUGGUUGAUAGCUUUAAAGUCGUUGCUUCUAUAUGCAGCUAAGAAUGACUUAUAAGUUCAUGGCAAAAGCAGCAACAUCAGUACGUAACCACAAGCAAGCUGAGGGGGUAAUAAUCUUGGUAUUUAAGUCUUAGAUUCAGUAUUUUGCUUUUUGGAUACAUGAACAUUGAAACUUAUUUAGCAUUUUGUUUCUUAUAUGCUUCAUGCAAAUAAAACUGCAGUAAAAUAUGAGCCGAGAUUUUGCUUGGCAUGUGUAUGUAUGCAUGCCCUGAAUUUGCUUAGCAUUUUUAUGCAUACAACUAUUGGAAGCUUUUACAUGUCCUGGAACUGAGCUUUUGCAUGCCCUAUGUUUUCUGAAGCUGAGUCUUUUGUUAUUGGCUAGUACUUGAAACAGAGUCGCAGGCCUCCUGCCAUAUAACCAUUUAUGAAGUGCAUAUGUGAUGCCUUAUCUUGUAUUCCUACAAAGAGUCCAGUAUUUUUUUUCAUGUGUAAAAAGUGGCUGACCUGGCAUUACACUGUUAAGUAUUUUGUACACAUCAGGAAUCUUGUUGUAGAUACACACUAAGCUGAAAAUGUUGCUAGCAGAAAUAGGUUUUCUGUUAGCUACGCAUCUGGUUUAAAACAUGGUAUGACUAGUUGCUUUGGAAUAGUAACGCCUUGAUAUUAUCUGAUCCUAUCUCAUGCAUAUUUUAGUUAUUUCUAGACAAAGCUUUAGGAACCGAGUUCACUACAACUCGAAGUCUUGUGCAUGGAGGAGAAUUGAGAUAUUUGUGCAUUCUGUACUAGUCAAAAGGUAUGUGUAGAUAUUCUGCUCAUUCUAGUUCAUGCUGCUACUUUAUUAAGGUCUUCUUUUAUGAGCCUCUACCUUGUGCAAAUAAUAUGAUUAUUUAGUAGCCUGGUUUCAUAGCUUUGAAUCUCAUGUGAAUAAACUAUAUGUCUAGGUGUUUGCUGUUCUUUGCUUAACUAGAUAUCGAAGUAUAGACAACAAGCUCAUGUACAAGAUGGCAAUUAUGAUGGUUAUUUAGUUUAUUUCAUUGGUUCUCAGCAUAUUAAUUGAUUGUAACAUUCUAGCUUUAUUUAAUAAGAAGAUGUAAAAGAAACAACAAGUAAUCUCCAUUUUUUGUUCUACAAUAUAGAUAGUUUACCAAGCUUAUUAACUUAUAGCAGAUCUACCAUCUUCUCCUUUCAGGUUGGCAUCAUGGUUGGAAGAUCUUGUGUGCUACUCUCUACACGAUGUUUCUUCUACAUGAUAGCACUUGACGUCUACAUGAUAGUACUUGAAGUCUACAUGAUGUUUCUUGUAUUCAUAGCUCAAACCAUUUGUUUAGCUUAGUUUGAACAAAAAAUAUUAUUGUCUUACAUGUAAAUAAUGUUUACUAAUGUAGCUGGAUGCUACUGAACGCAUGUACGAAAGUCAAAAUACUAAGUGUUAGUCAUUAUGUGUUUGAGAACUGCCGUUGAAUCUUGAGUGAAUUCCUGUAUGAAUAGAAAUCAAAAGAAAUAUAAAUGCUACCAAAUUCCUGUAUGAAUAGAAAUCGAAAGCAACAUAUACACUACCAG